UAGAGGUCUGAGGUUUCAUCUGUAGCACUUAGGACACCCCACACACACACAUCGUCCCCGAAAGUCCCCGGUGUGCAAGAGCAGCAGCGCUGCUUCCCAAUGAUGGUGACACAUGGCAGCAGUGCGGGGGCACCUGGUGAGGGACAGGACACCUGGCAGACGCAUGGAGCAAGGCACAGGGCUCUUUCAUUGACGUUCAUGUGAAUUGACGUGUUGAUCCUCCAGGAGAUAAGUCAGAUACACGUUUCCGUUUCUGUAAGCGUGAACUAAAGAGAAUGAACUGAGUGCCUUGUGGGUUUAUACACCUUGAAUUUAAAGCCUGUCACGCAGAGGAAGAGGCACUUUGAGCUUCUCUGCUGUCAGGGUGAAGACCUUGCUGGUGGCUUGGCGCUGAGACAUAAACUGAGUGUUGUAUUAUGGAUGGGGACCUGAGGAGCCUGCUGGCUGGAGGAAAGCAGGAGGACUUGCUGGUGGAUAACCAUUUCUCACCAGCAUUUAACUCCUCUACAUCUUAUGAUAACAUGUACUACCCUGAACUGGACAUUGACUGUGGAUUUGAAGGUAUUCCAGAAUUUGCAUCUUCAUUUUUUCCAGUGCUGUACUCCAUACUGUUUGUGAUUGGCUUCGUAGGAAACGCUUUGGUUGUUUGGGUCCUAACAGCCUUCAAGAAAAUCAGGGCCAUGACUGAUGUGUAUCUGCUGAACCUCGCCAUCUCUGACCUCGUCUUCGUCUUCUCCCUCCCUUUCCUGGCUCAGUACUCCCUGGGGAGCCAGUGGACUUUUGGCAACGCCAUGUGUAAAACUGUCAGCUCUGCUUACUUCAUUGGUUUCUACAGCAGUGCGUUCUUCAUAACCAUCAUGAGCAUUGACAGGUACUUGGCCAUUGUGCACUCUGUGUAUGCCCUGCAGGUCCGGACGACCACCCAUGGAAUUAUCGCCAGCCUGGCACUGUGGGCGGUGGCCAUCUUAGCAUCAGUGCCAGACCUCGUGUUCAUCCAGGAGAAAGUAGAUGAUGAUAACAGGACACUGUGCACCCAUAGCUACCCUGGCAGUGGUAAUGGCUGGAAGGUCUUCAGUAAUUCUGAAGUUAACAUCCUGGGGUGGCUGUUCCCUGUGAGCAUUCUCAUUUUCUGCUACCACAACAUCCUGAGAAACCUGCAGAGGUGCCAUACUCAGAACAAGUACAAAGCAAUGAAAUUGGUUUUUAUCGUUGUCAUUGUGUUCUUCCUUUUCUGGACCCCUAUCAAUAUCGCGCUCUUCCUGGACUCUCUGAGGAGCAUGCAUAUCAUCGAUGACUGCCAGACUAGCCAGAGGCUUGACCUGGCCCUGGAGCUGACCGAGACACUCUCCCUCAUGCACUGCUGCCUCAACCCCAUCAUCUAUGCCUUUGUUGGGGAGAAGUUCAAGAAGUAUCUGUGUGAGGCUUUUGGCAAAUAUGCCCAUUUUCUCUUGAUCUGCAAAGGACACAGUGCCUUCAACAGACGCAACACGGACAGACACACCUCUCUGUACACAGCAUCCUCACAGUCCUCUUUUGUUGGUAGCAUCUUGUAGAGGUGCAAGGCAAAAGCACCAUAUUUUAGACUUCAUUUGAAACUGAGAAGUCAUCCCAGUAAUUCAAUAAAAAUAGUCUUUCUGUUUCCUUGUAGGUGGAGGUUUCGGUGCAAUGGCCUGUUAGCAAAGUAAGACUAGGAAAUCACACAAUACCAGAGCAAGCUGUACUGUACCUUGCUCUUUCAUGUGCUCUGACACCAUUCUGAACAGUGACUGUCCCAUGGUUAGCAAUUGUGAAUGAGAACUUCAGACACUAAAAAUGACAUUGUGAAAUUCAUCAGGCACCCCCUGCCCACUGGCUGAAUAGUUUACCAAUGACUUUUGUCUCCAUCACAGGGAAGUAUGGGGAUGUACUGUUCAGGCAACCUUUUAGGACAAGAGGUAUCAGAAAAGUAGAAUCAUUUGCUUAAGCUUGCUUGUAUUGUGGUUCUCUUUGUGAUUCUUAUUUUUUAGCUCCUUUUUUAUCAUCUUCCUCCCUUUCCUGUAGCCCAUCUGACUUUGUGGAAGUGAGGCUGAAAAACUACCAGCAGGCUGCACAAAGGACAAAGAGAUGUGCCUUGUCCCUCCAGCACAGGACACAUGGUCCUCCAGUAUCCCUAAUGAAGUGAUGAAAACCUUGAAGGAUGGGAAGGCACAGCCUCUCUAUGCAAUAAGGUGUCGAGUUCACACCUAGGUAUUCCUCCACCUAGAUGUUGACAAAACACUUGUCUAAUAUUUAUCUUUUUUUAAUGCUUAUUUAAUUCUGCCUCCUGAGUGAGCUGCCCCUCUGAGGGAGACAGUUCAUUAUGGACUACUUGAAGAGCUGGCUGCAACAGCCAUCUUAAAAGAAGAUGCCAAAUGUGUCCAUUGAAACAGGAUAUCACCCAAUUUGAAGUUUUAUAUUAUAAAGAUGCUUCCUGCAGUGUAAAUGCACAAUCCUGGCACCUGAAGAACUUCCCUGUCCUAUCACUGCGUAUCUCAUUUUCCUGUGUCCUGGCAGAUUCACAUAACCAACCAUUCUCCUCACCACCUCCUCUCUCUUCCUCCCUCUUCCCCCCUCUUCCCUUCUCCCUGGGAGAGAGAGACUGAGAGCAGGUUGUCUUCUAGCAAUUCAGCCUACCCUGGUAGUAUCCCCAUACCUUUUAAGUACCCUUGAGGUUAUUUCCUAGAGAAGAUAGAACAAAACCCAGAAGACAAUUCUCUUCAGCUGCUGAUCUUCAGAUAGUGUUCAUUUUAAUGUGCAUCCAUAUUGGUGAUCUGCAAAAUGCAGCCUUUUGCAAGAGCAGGUUGAUAACAGUGUGUAUGACAAGUAAUGUUCCUUCAUGUGGGCAGUGACAGAUUCCCCAAAUGAUAAAACAGACUGUGAACAAAAGAUGGGGUUUAACCACUUCCUUGAUGCCAGCUCUGUGCUGCACCUCCUGCCAUUCAGGCAACUUGCUACCCUUGGUCAACACACCUCUUUUUGUUUAUGUGCAAGCAUUUAAAUGCCCAAGAAUGGGUUUCAUAGAAAUUGAGGUUGAAGCUGAAAUGUGCUGGACAGGAUGCCAGCACCAGCUCUCUUUGUCCUAUGGAGGUUUGUAGUAGUCGCCCUCUAGACCAUACCUUGCUCAUAGCACACGGAUGGCAACAACCUCUGCUUUCCCACAGCACACAUUUGUGUAUGUGCACUACUGCAUCCAGCAGUAGAGGAUUCUGCAACACUUACUUGCAGACAGAGACCUUCCUUGCAUGACCCAGCUCACCCCCUAGCAGCUGGCACACUCAUUCAGUUUCCAUCACAUCACUGCAGGAAAACAGCAGCACCUUCAAAUGACAGAAUUAUGGGAAAGGCAGAAUCAUUUCCAUCCCUUCUCACUGCCUACACUCUCUAUCUGCCCACACUACCACUGUGCCGCCCUUCAGAGCCAUACCUCCUUGAUACCCACAGACAAGCAGGCUCAGGGGUUGGGUAUCUGCAUUGGAAAAAAGCCUCUUUAGUUACAGGAGGUUCCUUUAUUUGUCAAAUGUUUGUCCUCCAUUUCCAUGUUUUCCCCUUCCUCCUCUACAUACAAACAAAGCAUGGAGAAACCUCAACCCUACUAACACAUGUCUUGUCCAGCCUCUGCACAGCAGGUUUUGCAGUCAGAUCUGAAAUGGACAUCAUUUGCAAUAGUACAGAGCAGCCCCUGCCCUAUGCAAAAGCAGGAAGGAGAUCUUUCUUUCAGUGGGUUAACCUGCGGCCUAAAAGGGAUCCAAGCCAUGUAGAUGAAGAGCAAAAUAUAAAGCUGUGUGGAGGUGCAGCUUAGGCAUGGUAACCAAAAUGAGAGGUGCACAGAUUGCAGUGAGGCUGUGCCGCAGAGCAGAAAGGUGUGAGGAGAGGACAACAGUGUGCAGCUCACCCUGGGUGUUGGGGUUUCUUUGUUCUGGGAUGUGCUGUGUUUGUGUGAUACGCUCCGAGGUGACUGUGAACAUUUAGAUCUGUGCAAUAUUUGUUUGGUUUUCUAACACUCAGUGGUCAUCCUGUAAAGAGAUGUACCACAGGGGCUCAGGAAAUGGUUGAUUUCUAUUAAUGCACUGAUGGUAAAAGGUGUUAGUAGUUUUAAGCGAGUCUUGAGGAAAGAAACCACUCAAACACCUACAGUGCCUCCAUGGUGCUCCUGCAGCCUGUCUUCAGCUGCUCAGGUGAGCUGAUAUGUUCUCUGUGCUCUUCCUUUGCAUCCUCCCAGCUGGAACUCCACAGUCUAGCAAAAAUGGGCUCAUUUUGCUGUCACUACAAUUUUAAUUGCUGGUGCUGAUUGAGAUGUCAUGCUGGAGGUCACCAGCAGCCAAGUCAUGAAGGAGCUGGUAGAUGCUGAGUACUGUGGGUCUUCACCAAAACUCUCUGUGUUUUGACAGGGGGAUGCUUUGCUCCUUGCACACAGCUCUCUGCAGCACUGAAGAUUUCCUGCCAAGGCAGCUGCCUCCCUCCCUGCAGCAGCUGCACCGGGAGUUGGACCAACCUCAGCUCCCCGCUGCAGCCUGGCGCUGCGAGCUGCUGCUGUCAAAGGGGAGGAGGUGAGACCCACAUCCGGAUGCUGUGUGGGCAGCAGAACAUGCAGUUCUCUGUGCUCCUCUCCUUUCUGAAGGGACAGGCUUGGAAGCUGCCUGCUGCCCUGAGGUGAGUGCAGGACAGCAGAAGGAACCCCCUGUAUCUUCCUUGAGUCUGAGUGGCAUCAUAGUCUGUUCUGGGCAGACAUGGUGCAUGGUCAAUUGUUUGCUCAAAAGGAGUCUGCCACAGUUUCAGAAAUGGUCCCACUCACAUCUGCUACUCAGCUUUACAACCUGAGCAUGGUCUUUUUGCUGCAGUGAGACAGACUGAAGGGAAGUCAGGACGAGUUGGGCACAUUACCUAGUCAGAUAUUCUCAUGUGUAUCAUCUUAAAACCGAGACAAAAGCAAUAGUCACCCACAUCCAAACUUAAGCCAGUCUUGUUUCCUUUUGAUUCACUAUUGGUAUGUGUGAAACACAGAGUAAAAAGGAGUGAGUAAAAGCUGUGUACCUGGAGGAAAUAUGUCUACACGCAGUGUAAGUCCUUUUACAGGCUCUUGUGCAGGAGGCUGACCUUACUGGUAACCCAUGCUCUCCAGUAUAUCUGCAAUAUGUCUGUAGGGUUUUUCAAUCACCCUCUUAGGGCAGGAGCAGGGAAGUUGCGCUGACAGCAUGCAGACCAAAUUAGCUCUCAUCCAUAAUGUGUCUAUGGGGCUGAGGGUGAGCUCUGCUCCACUUUGCCACCAGAAGCCCAGCCACAUCAUUCUCACUCCAAAGAGAUGGUUGCUCCCUUGGAGCAGGCAGCCAAGCAGAAGUUGGCUCUACCAAAAUGGAGUUCUGAGCCAAGAAGGGGAAGGAAAAGGCAAGGUUCAGCAGAUAGAUGUCAGUCACAGCCCUGGCUGUUAACCCAGGUGCAGACCUAGGCUUCUAAGUGUGUUGCUGCGCUCAGCUGGCAGGGCAGUAGCCAAGUGGUGACUCACUGAAGACCUGUGUUGACCACAAAUCUAUGAGUUUGGUUUCUUUACCUGAGAUUCAUACAGAAACAGCAACCUCCGCUUCAUCUUGAAAUGUAGUUUUCGUCAGCAAAGAGAUCUCUAGAAUGUCAAUGGAAGACAAUUUGCCCCACGCAUCUCUGAGGUGCCACUGGCCCUCCCCAUGUGCCUCAUACCGCCAUCAGGGAGGAAGCAGUACAACCACUGCUGGGUUUCUGGUGAAGGCGUGCAGCCCCAUGUUUUUCAAGGUUUGUUAGUUUAUUUGUUUUCCUUAGGAAGUAUCCACCCUAAAAGUGCAGUCAGAGGUAUCACUUCGCUCAUGCCUCUCCUCGAGACAUGCGCUCUGUGGGAUGGCUUCCAGACACUUAGAAAUGAUCCUUCCAGAAGGACUCCUCCCAUCUAAAAGCAUCCCAGCCUCUUCUCUGCUGUGGUAACAUCUGGCUAUGCCCAGAGAUAGCAUGGUUCACAUUCAUAAUGGGGCUUUUCCUGGGCGUAUGCCCUGUAGUCUGGGCAAGUAAUGCUGACCAAAGCAAAGCUGCUGCUGAACCGCAGAGGUUCCAAUGCACAACUUGUAUGGUGUGCUUCUGCUUGACUGAACAGUUUUGCAUAAAACUGUGCUUCUCUUCACUCAGCUAAAACGCCAAAAUGUGCAGAGCACUACAUAGAAAUCCCCACUCAGCACAGUGGAAGCAUGAUUUGGGUUUCCACAGUGCUGACUCGUGCAUCUGCUGGGCUGUCAUCUCUACCCAACACCUCUUGUUCCAGAGCUGGCUGGGACUCGCAUGGGUCCAGCGUGUUUUUUGGCUAAUUGAUACAGUCAGGGCUAAUUAGUGCAGUCAGAGAAUGCCAGGCCAGCUCUGGUGUGAGCACUUCUGUCAGAUGCCAUGUAAGACAAGAUACCUCCAAAAGAGCAGUGCUACCAAGCCAACAGCAAGGCCUGCUGUGGUACCUCUCACUCAGAGCUAUUUUUUCUCUCCAUGUGCUGGUAUGCACCCUGACCAACUGAGGUCUUCACAUCCCAUCUGCCCCCACUGGCUGCCUGGGUAUCUAUUCCUGUUUUCAGGGAUCCUGCAGCACAGGUUCAGGAGGGGCUUGUAAGCAAGGCCAGCAUGUAACAGUGGUCCCUUAUUUUCUCCUUUCUGUACAGGAAAAAGCAAACGAAACAAAAACGGGCUGUUGUAGAGCAGCAAGGGAAUAAUGCCUGAAACUCCUACCUGUUUGCUGACCCAUGUUUGGAGAGUAAAAGCAUUGGAACCAAAGAGGGGAAGCAAGGUCCAGGUGAAGUGUGUUCCCCUUUAAAUACAGCUGGUUGAGUCCUCAGGCUCCCCUUCUCCUCAUCCUCUGGGACAGGAUCAAGGAGCAAUUUGGGAUGCUACUGCAGCUCUACAAGUAGGUUAACAGUCCUGGAAAGGUUUCUCCCUGGUAGACAACAAGAGAAAAAUGUAGAGCUGGUUGAGAACUGAAGACCAAAAGGCACAACCUGCACCCUGCAAACUAUGGUGACUGUGGUAACUCAGAUGUGCUGAGCAGGGUCUGAAAUAGACAGAGAAACUGAGCAGAGCUGUGGGUCUCCACUCACCUCUCUAUUUCCUUGCAGCACCCCCAGUAAUCCAGCAGCAAUACCAGCACAGCAUGCCCAGUCUCUUCUUGAUUUCAGAGGCCCACCAACCCUCUCUGAAGCCUGGCGCCAUGGAGAAAUAGCCACAGUCUGACUCAUUCAUGAACCUGAACGUUGAUGCUGGGCUUACCAACUGCUUGCUGUGGAGGCUGGUUCCAAAAAACGAAAUGAAUCACCACCUGAGAUUCGUAACAAAGAACAACUGCAUCUCCUACUGGCAGGCUGGAAAUCUGCCGUGUCAAGUGACAUGAGAAGACUCAGAGGCUCUCUCUGCUGGGUCUUGCUUCAGAGGCUUCUCCUUCCCUCUGAAACAAGUGGAGGAGAACAAAGACACAGGGUGGUCACACUCCAGGCAAAGCUUUGGGGGAAGAGAUGGCUGCAGUCAGCACUAAGCAUCCCAGAUGCACUGUUUAGGCUCAUAAACUGUGUGAGGGUUGGCAUUCACCCCUCAGAGAAAUUGUUUAUAGAUACUUUUAUUGUGUCUUCAAAGUGAAAGUCAAAUAUAUCAUAGGAGGCUUAGGGCAAUAAAAAAGAUGUUUGAGAUCCCA